GGUGACAGAGCAAGACUCUAUCUCAAAAAAAAAAAAAAAAGAAGAAAGAUGUCUGAGAUCCAUUUGAUAUUGAAUGCCACUUUGUAAAUAUCACAAGGCUUGUUCAAAAAAGCCCGAGUUCUUGCCUAAAUUAUUCAUGUAAUCUUGGGCAAAGUGUUUAAGUCCUCAGGGUUAUUUUGCUCAUUUGCAACAUGAGGAAGGCAUGACUAGAUGAUCUCCGAGAACACUGGACAAGAUGUCUUGCAGCAUUAUAAUGUUAUGAUUACUACUGGGAGAGCCCUAAAGCCAUGGAGAUAGGAAAUUUCAUCUUGUGCUAAAUGCCACGACCCAAGCAGGAAUUUGUACUAAUUCACACCACAGUUAGUUUAUGUUUUAAAUGUGUAAGUUCAACUAAGUUUCUAUGAAAAAACCAUAGAAAGUAAUGACCACAAUGUUUUUCUGCUAUAACCAAUCCACUGGACAUGAGUCACAGGCGUUGGUGGAGGUUUUGAGUGAUGAAAAAUGAACCAGAAAAUGGAGCUGAAUCAGAGGGUGGGAAAAAUAUAAGAGGCUUCCACGAUGGAAGUGAGGGGAUAGUAAGCCUUCCUAAGGACUAAUUUAAAUAUCUCAGGAGGGGAAGUUGGAAAUGUCACUAGAGCCCUGUCUCCAUCAAUUGCUGCAAUAAUCAAAUCCUUUGGAUGGGAGGGAAUACAGAGGGCACCCUCAAAAGUUAGUGGUCCUAAGUCCUCCAACUUAUUUUCAUAUCUUUGGAUUCAUAAAUUCACAGAGGUUGCAGAGGAGAAAAACUUCCCUUAAGUAAUCUUAACAGAAAUUCUCCAAAGCCCCCUUUUACUUCUCCUUCAACUCAAAGUACCCAUCCAUUCCUCCCAAAUAACCUUAUCUACAGAAACUAAUACAUAUUGUCCUUUUUGUCUGACCUUGAACCUUCCCUUAUCUACUCUUGGCUAGGAGCUUUUUGGCAAGAGGCGGAUGAGGAGGAGUUUGGCCUCCCUUGUUUAAAUCCUUUGUUCUUCUGUCACGGAAGUCAGGCCUGCUCCAUUCAUCACAGGUUUGACCACUCAACAUUUGACACCACAAUGAUAAAUAGAAAUGCUAACACCAUUCAAACUUUCCCUACAUGCUAGUCACUGUACUAAGUGCUUUAUAUGUAUUGUUACUUUUAAUCCACAUUAUACUCUUGUGAAGUGGUAGUGAAGAUCCAUGUCCCUGAAGGUAUUCAAGCCCAAAAACCAUCUGUUGGUAACAUUAUUGCCAGGCGCAUUGGCUCACACCUGUAAUCUCAGCAGUUUUGGGAGGCUGAGGAGAGUAGAUCACCUGAGCUCAGGAGUUUGAGAUCAGCUUAUAUAGAUGGGGAAACUCCCACCUCCCUAAGCUAAGAGGCGUUCUAUCACAGUGUGUAUUUUCAUCACGAGCACACAUUUUUAUUUACCUUUCCUCUUAUGAACUGUGGACUUCUUACAAGAUCUCAUUAGCAAUGUGGGCUUUCUCAUGUCCCUGUGGCUCCGUGGAUGUUCCCAAGCUUACUGGUUUUGGAGUCUUGCACAGCACUUUUGGAAGCCCAGUUGUGCAGGUGCAUGGAAGAAAUGUGAUGAAAUGAGUUGAAGCUCUCCCAAGGAGAAGAGAAGGCCCCCUGGAUGUUGUUGCUACUGCCUCCUUAACGUGAAGACAAUGAGGAUGAAGACUUUUAUGAUGAGCCACUUCCACUAAACGAAUAGCUGGAGUGCAGUGGUGCCCAGGCUGGAGUG
rnacentral:lncRNA from 1 species